GAUGAACGCUAGCGGCAGGCUUAAUACAUGCAAGUCGAGGGACAGCACAGGUAGCAAUACUGGGUGGUAACCGGCAAACGGGUGCGGAACACGUACACAACCUUCCUUUAAGUGGGGGAUAGCCCAGAGAAAUUUGGAUUAAUACCCCGUAAUAUAGUUGAAUGGCAUCAUUUGAUUAUUAUAGCUACGGCGCUUAAUGAUGGGUGUGCGGCUGAUUAGAUAGUUGGCGGGGUAACGGCCCACCAAGUCUACGAUCAGUAGCUGAUGUGAGGGCAUGAACAGCCACACGGGAACUGAGACACGGUCCCGACUCCUACGGGAGGCAGCAGUAAGGAAUAUUGGUCAAUGGACGCAAGUCUGAACCAGCCAUGCCGCGUGAAGGAUUAAGGUCCUCUGGAUUGUAAACUUCUUUUAUUUGGGACGAAAAAGGGCCUUUCUAGGUCAACUGACGGUACCAGAUGAAUAAGCACCGGCUAACUCCGUGCCAGCCGCCGCGGUAACAC
rnacentral:rRNA from 1 species